rnacentral:misc_RNA from 1 species
AACGCAUAUUGCGCUCUUUGGUAUUCCGAAGAGCAUGCUUGUUUGAGUAUCAGUAAACACCUCACAAUCAAAUUUAUUUUUGAAAGUGGACUUGAGUGAUCCGUACCCUCCCUCUGGGGAGGGGCCGGUUACUUGAAAUGCAGGUGCAGCUGGACUUACAACUGAGCUAUAAGCAUAUCUAUUUAGUCUCGUAAAACAGAUUAUUCAUUUUGCUAAAGCUACUCUAAGGUUGUAUUUCCAUAUGGCUGACUGAUGCAGGAUUCACAGAGUGGACUUCAAAAACCCAUUUUGUAAACUCGAUCUCAAAUCAAGCAAGACUACCCGCUGAACUUAA